rnacentral:lncRNA from 1 species
AUUGGUGGGAAGAGUGUGGAAGGUUUUAGAAAUGUCUAGAGAUGUCCACACAUCUCUACACUAUGGUGGAAGGCAUGGGAGGAGUCCAAGGCUUUCUAGAGACUUCUAGGAAUCUCUUGUACAUAGGGUUGUACAUAGAAUAGGGUAGGAUGUUCUAGAAUAUUCUUGAUUUGUAAGGAACCCUCCUAGGUUCUAGAGAGUUCCCUUGGUGCCUA